CCCUUAGAUGUUCUGGGCCGCACGCGCGCUACACCGACGAUGGCAACGAGUUUUUCCUUCGCCGAAAGGUGUGGGUAAUCUUUUGAAACAUCGUCGUGCUGGGGAUAGAUCAUUGCAAUUUUUGAUCUUGAACGAGGAAUUCCUAGUAAGCGCGAGUCAUCAGCUCGCGUUGAUUACGUCCCUGCCCUUUGUACACACCGCCCGUCGCUACUACCGAUUGAAUGGUUUAGUGAGGACUCCUGAUUGGCGCCGCCGCCCCGGCAACGGAGCAGCGGACUGCCGAAAAGUUGUUCAAACUUGAUCAUUUAGAGGAAGUAAAAGUCGUAACA
rnacentral:rRNA from 1 species